UGCGAUCAUACCAACUCACAUGCACCGGAUCCCAUCAGAACUCCGAAGUUAAGCGAGUUUGGGCGAUAGUAGUACUAGGAUGGGUGACCUCCUAGGAAGUCCUCGUGUUGCAUCCCCUCUUUUUGUCUUUUUGACGUUUCAAUUGUCGUGGGCGUUUGCUUUCCGUCGUCGGGUAAAGUGCGCUUAAACACUCGUCGAAAGCCCGCAAAGGAAUCAAAAUACGAAAAUGACAAAGUUUCCCAAAACUGAAUUUCGCCCUAGCAAACGGCGUCAGAUGCCCGAGGCAACGCAAUGAGUUUUACUCAUGACGUCGUUCUCUUCAAAUCGACUGCUCGUGGGCCUAAUUCUGAGGUCGGAGCCCAGAUAUGCGGUUUACCCGAUACGCGCGUCGCUCCAGCUCCUCUUCAACAGCUUCCGACGUCAACCCGGGGAGCCCGUCUCCAACUAACUAGGUGCCGGAAAUGAGCGGGACCGACGCACUGCCGGACUUAUCGGGGGUUUUUUCGCGCUCAAUUGUCGUUAGGUAGGCCAUAUGGCAUGGCUCAAACGUGGCUUAUAUGCUUUUAGGCGUUGUAAGCUAACGGAUGCGAUCAUACCAACUCACAUGCACCGGAUCCCAUCAGAACUCCGAAGCUAAGCGAGUUUGGGCGAGAGUAGUACUAGGAUGGGUGACCUCCUGGGAAGUCCUCGUGUUGCAUCCCCUCUUUUUGUCUUUUUGACGUUUCAAUUGUCGUGGGCGUUUGCUUUCCGUCGUCUUAUUCAUCUGGCUGUCUCUGUUUUUCCACGACCCCGUGACGCAACGUGGCAAUCGGGGGUAAAGUACGCUUAAACACUCGUCGAAAGCCCGCAAAGGAAUCAAAAUACGAAAAUGACAAACUUUCCCAAAACUAAAUUUCGCCCUAGCAAACGGCGUCGGAUGCCCGAGGCAACGCAAUGAGUUUUACUCGUGACGCCGUUCUCUUCAAAUCGACUGCUCGUGGGCCUAAUUCUGAGGUCGGAGCCCAGAUAUGCGGUUUACCCGAUACGCGCGUCGCUCCAGCUCCUCUUCAACUGCUUCCGACGUCACCCCGAGGAGCCCGUCUCCAAUUAACUAGGUGCCGGAAAAGAGCGGGACCGACGCACUGCCGGAAUUAUCGGGGGGUUUUUUCGCGCUCAAUUGUCGUUAGGUAGGCCAUAUGGCAUGGCUCAAACGUGGCUUAUAUGCUUUUAGGCGUUGUAAGCUAACGGAUGCGAUCAUACCAACUCACAUGCACCGGAUCCCAUCAGAACUCCGAAGUUAAGCGAGUUUGGGCGAGAGUAGUACUAGGAUGGGUGACCUCCUGGGAAGUCCUCGUGUUGCAUCCCCUCUUUUUGUCUUUUUGACGUUUCAAUUGUCGUGGGCGUUUGCUUUCCGUCGUCUUAUUCAUCUGGCUGUCUCUGUUUUUCGGCGAGAGUAGCACUAGGAUGGGUGACCUCCUGGGAAGUCCUCGUGUUGCAUCCCCUCUUUUUGUCUUUUUGACGUUUCAAUACGAAAAUGACAAAGUUUCCCAAAACUGAAUCUCGCCCCAGCAAACGGCGUCGGAUGCCCGAAAAAGCCCGUCGGUCAUGGCAGCGCAAUGAGUUUUACUCGUGACGCCGUUCUCUUCAAAUCGACUGCUCGUGGGCCUAAUUCUGAGGUCGGAGCCCAGAUAUGCGGUUUACCCGAUACGCGCGUCGCUCCAGCUCCUCUUCAACUGCUUCCGACGUCACCCCGAGGAGCCCGUCUCCAAUUAACUAGGUGCCGGAAAAGAGCGGGACCGACGCACUGCCGGAAUUAUCGGGGGGUUUUUUCGCGCUCAAUUGUCGUUAGGUAGGCCAUAUGGCAUGGCUCAAACGUGGCUUAUAUGCUUUUAGGCGUUGUAAGCUAACGGAUGCGAUCAUACCAACUCACAUGCACCGGAUCCCAUCAGAACUCCGAAGUUAAGCGAGUUUGGGCGAGAGUAGUACUAGGAUGGGUGACCUCCUGGGAAGUCCUCGUGUUGCAUCCCCUCUUUUUGUCUUUUUGACGUUUCAAUUGUCGUGGGCGUUUGCUUUCCGUCGUCUUAUUCAUCUGGCUGUCUCUGUUUUUCCACGACCCCGUGACGCAGCGUGGCAAUCGGGGGUAAAGUACGCUUAAACACUCGUCGAAACCCCGCAAAGGAAUCAAAAUACGAAAAUGACAAAGUUUCCCAAAACUGAAUUUCGCCCCAGCAAACGGCGUCGGAUGCCCGAAAAAGCCCGUCGGUCAUGGCAGCGCAAUGAGUUUUACUCGUGACGCCGUUCUCUUCAAAUCGACUGCUCGUGGGCCUAAUUCUGAGGUCGGAGCCCAGAUAUGCGGUUUACCCGAUACGCGCGUCGCUCCAGCUCCUCUUCAACUGCUUCCGACGUCACCCCGAGGAGCCCGUCUCCAAUUAACUAGGUGCCGGAAAAGAGCGGGACCGACGCACUGCCGGAAUUAUCGGGGGGUUUUUUCGCGCUCAAUUGUCGUUAGGUAGGCCAUAUGGCAUGGCUCAAACGUGGCUUAUAUGCUUUUAGGCGUUGUAAGCUAACGGAUGCGAUCAUACCAACUCACAUGCACCGGAUCCCAUCAGAACUCCGAAGUUAAGCGAGUUUGGGCGAGAGUAGUACUAGGAUGGGUGACCUCCUGGGAAGUCCUCGUGUUGCAUCCCCUCCUUUUGUCUUUUUGACGUUUCAAUUGUCGUGGGCGUUUGCUUUCCGUCGUCUUAUUCAUCUGGCUGUCUCUGUUUUUCCACGACCCCGUGACGCAGCGUGGCAAUCGGGGGUAAAGUACGCUUAAACACUCGUCGAAAGCCCGCAAAGGAAUCAAAAUACGAAAAUGACAAAGUUUUCCAAAACUGAAUUUCGCCCCAGCAAACGGCGUCGGAUGCCCGAAAAAGCCCGUCGGUCAUGGCAGCGCAAUGAGUGGGCCUAAUUCUGAGGUCGGAGCCCAGAUAUGCGGUUUACCCGAUACGCGCGUCGCUCCAGCUCCUCUUCAACUGCUUCCGACGUCACCCCGAGGAGCCCGUCUCCAAUUAACUAGGUGCCGGAAAAGAGCGGGACCGACGCACUGCCGGAAUUAUCGGGGGGUUUUUUCGCGCUCAAUUGUCGUUAGGUAGGCCAUAUGGCAUGCCUCAAACGUGGCUUAUAUGCUUUUAGGCGUUGUAAGCUAACGGAUGCGAUCAUACCAACUCACAUGCACCGGAUCCCAUCAGAACUCCGAAGUUAAGCGAGUUUGGGCGAGAGUAGUACUAGGAUGGGUGACCUCCUGGGAAGUCCUCGUGUUGCAUCCCCUCUUUUUGUCUUUUUGACGUUUCAAUUGUCGUGGGCGUUUGCUUUCCGUCGUCUUAUUCAUCUGGCUGUCUCUGUUUUUCCACGACCCCGUGACGCAGCGUGGCAAUCGGGGGUAAAGUACGCUUAAACACUCGUCGAAACCCCGCAAAGGAAUCAAAAUACGAAAAUGACAAAGUUUCCCAAAACUGAAUUUCGCCCCAGCAAACGGCGUCGGAUGCCCGAAAAAGCCCGUCGGUCAUGGCAGCGCAAUGAGUUUUACUCGUGACGCCGUUCUCUUCAAAUCGACUGCUCGCGGGCCUAAUUCUGAGGUCGGAGCCCAGAUAUGCGGUUUACCCGAUACGCGCGUCGCUCCAGCUCCUCUUCAACUGCUUCCGACGUCACCCCGAGGAGCCCGUCUCCAAUUAACUAGGUGCCGGAAAAGAGCGGGACCGACGCACUGCCGGAAUUAUCGGGGGGUUUUUUCGCGCUCAAUUGUCGUUAGGUAGGCCAUAUGGCAUGGCUCAAACGUGGCUUAUAUGCUUUUAGGCGUUGUAAGCUAACGGAUGCGAUCAUACCAACUCACAUGCACCGGAUCCCAUCAGAACUCCGAAGUUAAGCGAGUUUGGGCGAGAGUAGUACUAGGAUGGGUGACCUCCUGGGAAGUCCUCGUGUUGCAUCCCCUCUUUUUGUCUUUUUGACGUUUCAAUUGUCGUGGGCGUUUGCUUUCCGUCGUCUUAUUCAUCUGGCUGUCUCUGUUUUUCCACGACCCCGUGACGCAGCGUGGCAAUCGGGGGUAAAGUACGCUUAAACACUCGUCGAAACCCCGCAAAGGAAUCAAAAUACGAAAAUGACAAAGUUUCCCAAAACUGAAUUUCGCCCCAGCAAACGGCGUCGGAUGCCCGAAAAAGCCCGUCGGUCAUGGCAGCGCGAUGAGUUUUACUCGUGACGCCGUUCUCUUCAAAUCGACUGCUCGUGGGCCUAAUUCUGAGGUCGGAGCCCAGAUAUGCGGUUUACCCGAUACGCGCGUCGCUCCAGCUCCUCUUCAACUGCUUCCGACGUCACCCCGAGGAGCCCGUCUCCAAUUAACUAGGUGCCGGAAAAGAGCGGGACCGACGCACUGCCGGAAUUAUCGGGGGGUUUUUUCGCGCUCAAUUGUCGUUAGGUAGGCCAUAUGGCAUGGCUCAAACGUGGCUUAUAUGCUUUUAGGCGUUGUAAGCUAACGGAUGCGAUCAUACCAACUCACAUGCACCGGAUCCCAUCAGAACUCCGAAGUUAAGCGAGUUUGGGCGAGAGUAGUACUUGGAUGGGUGACCUCCUGGGAAGUCCUCGUGUUGCAUCCCCUCUUUUUGUCUUUUUGACGUUUCAAUUGUCGUGGGCGUUUGCUUUCCGUCGUCUUAUUCAUCUGGCUGUCUCUGUUUUUCCACGACCCCGUGACGCAGCGUGGCAAUCGGGGGUAAAGUACGCUUAAACACUCGUCGAAAGCCCGCAAAGGAAUCAAAAUACGAAAAUGACAAAGUUUCCCAAAACUGAAUUUCGCCCCAGCAAACGGCGUCGGAUGCCCGAAAAAGCCCGUCGGUCAUGGCAGCGCAAUGAGUUUUGCUCGUGACGCCGUUCUCUUCAAAUCGACUGCUCGCGGGCCUAAUUCUGAGGUCGGAGCCCAGAUAUGCGGUUUACCCGAUACGCGCGUCGCUCCAGCUCCUCUUCAACUGCUUCCGACGUCACCCCGAGGAGCCCGUCUCCAAUUAACUAGGUGCCGGAAAAGAGCGGGACCGACGCACUGCCGGAAUUAUCGGGGGGUUUUUUCGCGCUCAAUUGUCGUUAGGUAGGCCAUAUGGCAUGGCUCAAAGGUGACCUCCUGGGAAGUCCUCGUGUUGCAUCCCCUCUUUUUGUCUUUUUGACGUUUCAAUUGUCGUGGGCGUUUGCUUUCCGUCGUCUUAUUCAUCUGGCUGUCUCUGUUUUUCCACGACCCCGUGACGCAGCGUGGCAAUCGGGGGUAAAGUACGCUUAAACACUCGUCGAAACCCCGCAAAGGAAUCAAAAUACGAAAAUGACAAAGUUUCCCAAAACUGAAUUUCGCCCCAGCAAACGGCGUCGGAUGCCCGAAAAAGCCCGUCGGUCAUGGCAGCGCAAUGAGUUUUACUCGUGACGCCGUUCUCUUCAAAUCGACUGCUCGUGGGCCUAAUUCUGAGGUCGGAGCCCAGAUAUGCGGUUUACCCGAUACGCGCGUCGCUCCAGCUCCUCUUCAACUGCUUCCGACGUCACCCCGAGGAGCCCGUCUCCAAUUAACUAGGUGCCGGAAAAGAGCGGGACCGACGCACUGCCGGAAUUAUCGGGGGGUUUUUUCGCGCUCAAUUGUCGUUAGGUAGGCCAUAUGGCAUGGCUCAAACGUGGCUUAUAUGCUUUUAGGCGUUGUAAGCUAACGGAUGCGAUCAUACCAACUCACAUGCACCGGAUCCCAUCAGAACUCCGAAGUUAAGCGAGUUUGGGCGAGAGUAGUACUAGGAUGGGUGACCUCCUGGGAAGUCCUCGUGUUGCAUCCCCUCUUUUUGUCUUUUUGACGUUUCAAUUGUCGUGGGCGUUUGCUUUCCGUCGUCUUAUUCAUCUGGCUGUCUCUGUUUUUCCACGACCCCGUGACGCAGCGUGGCAAUCGGGGGUAAAGUACGCUUAAACACUCGUCGAAACCCCGCAAAGGAAUCAAAAUACGAAAAUGACAAAGUUUCCCAAAACUGAAUUUCGCCCCAGCAAACGGCGUCGGAUGCCCGAAAAAGCCCGUCGGUCAUGGCAGCGCAAUGAGUGGGCCUAAUUCUGAGGUCGGAGCCCAGAUAUGCGGUUUACCCGAUACGCGCGUCGCUCCAGCUCCUCUUCAACUGCUUCCGACGUCACCCCGAGGAGCCCGUCUCCAAUUAACUAGGUGCCGGAAAAGAGCGGGACCGACGCACUGCCGGAAUUAUCGGGGGGUUUUUUCGCGCUCAAUUGUCGUUAGGUAGGCCAUAUGGCAUGGCUCAAACGUGGCUUAUAUGCUUUUAGGCGUUGUAAGCUAACGGAUGCGAUCAUACCAACUCACAUGCACCGGAUCCCAUCAGAACUCCGAAGUUAAGCGAGUUUGGGCGAGAGUAGUACUAGGAUGGGUGACCUCCUGGGAAGUCCUCGUGUUGCAUCCCCUCUUUUUGUCUUUUUGACGUUUCAAUUGUCGUGGGCGUUUGCUUUCCGUCGUCUUAUUCAUCUGGCUGUCUCUGUUUUUCCACGACCCCGUGACGCAGCGUGGCAAUCGGGGGUAAAGUACGCUUAAACACUCGUCGAAACCCCGCAAAGGAAUCAAAAUACGAAAAUGACAAAGUUUUCCAAAACUGAAUUUCGCCCCAGCAAACGGCGUCGGAUGCCCGAAAAAGCCCGUCGGUCAUGGCAGCGCAAUGAGUUUUACUCGUGACGCCGUUCUCUUCAAAUCGACUGCUCGCGGGCCUAAUUCUGAGGUCGGAGCCCAGAUAUGCGGUUUACCCGAUACGCGCGUCGCUCCAGCUCCUCUUCAACUGCUUCCGACGUCACCCCGAGGAGCCCGUCUCCAAUUAACUAGGUGCCGGAAAAGAGCGGGACCGACGCACUGCCGGAAUUAUCGGGGGGUUUUUUCGCGCUCAAUUGUCGUUAGGUAGGCCAUAUGGCAUGGCUCAAACGUGGCUUAUAUGCUUUUAGGCGUUGUAAGCUAACGGAUGCGAUCAUACCAACUCACAUGCACCGGAUCCCAUCAGAACUCCGAAGUUGAGCGAGUUUGGGCGAGAGUAGUACUAGGAUGGGUGACCUCCUGGGAAGUCCUCGUGUUGCAUCCCCUCUUUUUGUCUUUUUGACGUUUCAAUUGUCGUGGGCGUUUGCUUUCUGUCGUCUUAUUCAUCUGGCUGUCUCUGUUUUUCCACGACCCCGUGACGCAGCGUGGCAAUCGGGGGUAAAGUACGCUUAAACACUCGUCGAAACCCCGCAAAGGAAUCAAAAUACGAAAAUGACAAAGUUUCCCAAAACUGAAUUUCGCCCCAGCAAACGGCGUCGGAUGCCCGAAAAAGCCCGUCGGUCAUGGCAGCGCAAUGAGUUUUACUCGUGACGCCGUUCUCUUCAAAUCGACUGCUCGUGGGCCUAAUUCUGAGGUCGGAGCCCAGAUAUGCGGUUUACCCGAUACGCGCGUCGCUCCAGCUCCUCUUCAACUGCUUCCGACGUCACCCCGAGGAGCCCGUCUCCAAUUAACUAGGUGCCGGAAAAGAGCGGGACCGACGCACUGCCGGAAUUAUCGGGGGGUUUUUUCGCGCUCAAUUGUCGUUAGGUAGGCCAUAUGGCAUGGCUCAAAACGUGGCUUAUAUGCUUUUAGGCGUUGUAAGCUAACGGAUGCGAUCAUACCAAAUCACAUGCACCGGAUCCCAUCAGAACUCCGAAGUUAAGCGAGUUUGGGCGAGAGUAGUACUAGGAUGGGUGACCUCCUGGGAAGUCCUCGUGUUGCAUCCCCUCUUUUUGCCUUUUUGACGUUUCAAUUGUCGUGGGCGUUUGCUUUCCGUCGUCUUAUUCAUCUGGCUGUCUCUGUUUUUCCACGACCCCGUGACGCAGCGUGGCAAUCGGGGGUAAAGUACGCUUAAACACUCGUCGAAACCCCGCAAAGGAAUCAAAAUACGAAAAUGACAAAGUUUCCCAAAACUGAAUUUCGCCCCAGCAAACGGCGUCGGAUGCCCGAAAAAGCCCGUCGGUCAUGGCAGCGCAAUGAGUUUUACUCGUGACGC
rnacentral:lncRNA from 1 species